ACACAUGCUCUAAGGUUCUUUCCAUCGAGUUUGAAUUUCAUUUUCAUUGUCGUCAGCUAGGGUUCUUUUUUAGUAGAAUAUGAUAACAGUUUCAGGGUUUGGUGCUUGAACCCUGAUUCAUGGAGAGCUCAUUGAAGAUUGGGAUUUUUACGUGGAUUUCUUAGUGGUUUUAUUUCUGGGCAGAAUCAUGGAAUUUGUUCAGUUCAAUUGAAUAAUUUGUGGCUUUUUUUUUUUUUUUUUUUUUUUGGUUUGAAAAUUUAUGAAAGAUUUGAUUUUCAAUUGUUUGGAAUAUUGUUUAGGUCAGUUUGAUUUUCAGAGUAGGAUCGAUGCAUUGUAUGGAAACAGUAGACACUAAACAACUCACUGGUUACCAUCCCUUGUCUUCACACACAGGUGGCCUACUUUGUGGACUAGCUGGAUUGUUAUGCCACUGCAUCAACUGAAUGGAUCCUUUUUUAAAAAUGGGAUUCGAGGCUUUUGAAUUGUGAUGUGUACUGAAUGUUUGACAAAAUGCCAAAGGAGACACGCAUACCAAAUGUUUGAUAUGAUUACUAACAGAAACUUGGCUUUUUGUAACAUAGGGAUUAGGGGAUGUUACUUUGUAGUUUGUGAACUUCUGCUUGUAUAUGCCGGUCACAGGUGGCCUGAUUGCAUCAUCAUAUUGUUUGUGAAUGAAGUUACCUACCCUGUUUAAUUUGGAAUGCAUCAGUAGUCGUCUGCUCUUUCCUGCCUAGAGUGGGUCCUCUGUGACCACGGUCCUCAUUUCUGCUUUAAAGAUUCUGACUUAAAUCUUGUUUGGGGCUCAUUUUAGGUGUGAAGUUGCUAUGAUGCCUCUUGCUUAUUUAUAAGAAAGUAUCUAGUGCUAGAUGCUACUAUCUUAGUUAUCUCAGGUUCAGAUCAGAAUCUGGUUUCUUUUUCUUUUUCUUUUUUCUUUUUUUUUUUUGCCUUUUACCCUUUGUUUCAGGUUGAGAAGUUUUUAGAGAUUUUAGAGGAUAAUGCUUGUUGAUGCUUCAGCUGAUGAGAGUUCACCUCAAAGAGGAGCAUGCUGCUAUUUUUUUUUUGUUGCUUUUUUAAACUAACCAGCUUCUAUAAUCAACAGAUAUGCUGUAUUUUCUACUUCGAACUACUGUGACUAGGUUAAGAAGAUUUGCUAGGAUUCAAGGUAUUCAAUGCUCAUUGGGCCCAUGACCAGCCUUAUACAGACCAAACACAACCAACCAUGCAACAAUCCUUUAGUGCAGAACUUUUUGCUGAUAUUUUUAGUUGAACAAGAGAAUUAGGAAUUUAUGUCAAUUCAAUCUCUCUUUUCAUUCUUUUAGUGGAAAUAGUUCUUGGGCAAUGUUUUCUAUUA